AUGUUCUAUGAGAAGCAGGAUGAAGUUGCAAAAGUUGGAAAAAAAGUGAGAAAACAACCUCAUGAUGGUGCCUGGGCACAUCAGUACUCUUGCAGCUUGAAAUUGAGAUGAGCCAUUGAUUCUCCAUGUGGUUGAGCACAUGAUACCAUCAGGAAAUCCUACUGGAUCAUUCCUCCUCAUGUCUUCCCUCCCUCCUUCCUGCUCCCUUUCUUUCCGUUGCUUAGAGAAGAUUUUGUUUUUCUUCCUGGAAGAAUGCCCUUUGGUAAGAGGAGGGAGCAAACCUGCAGCACUGGGGUGCGACUUGGAGACAACAAUGAGAAGGAAAAGGCAGAGAGAGAGGUGGAGGAUCCAAAGGCACAUUUUCUCCAUUUGGUCGAGUGUGAUGCAUUCUGGACAAUGA
rnacentral:lncRNA from 1 species